rnacentral:rRNA from 1 species
UACGUAGGGAGCGAGCGUUGUCCGGAAUUACUGGGCGUAAAGGGCGUGUAGGCGGGGAUUUAAGUAGGGUGUGAAAACUCCGGGCUCAACUUGGAGACUGCACCCUAAACUGGAUCUCUUGAGGGCAGGAGAGGAAAGUGGAAUUCCUAGUGUAGCGGUGAAAUGCGUAGAUAUUAGGAGGAACACCAGUGGCGAAGGCGACUUUCUGGACUGUACCUGACGCUGAGGCGCGAAAGCGUGGGGAGCAAAC